rnacentral:rRNA from 1 species
GUGUCAGCAGCCGCGGUAAUACGGAGGGUGCAAGCGUUGUCCGGAUUUAUUGGGUUUAAAGGGUGCGUAGGCGGCCCUGUAAGUCAGCGGUGAAAUCCCAGGGCUCAACCCUGGAACUGCCGUUGAUACUGCAGGGCUUGAGUUCGGUUAAGGCGGGCGGAACUGGUGGUGUAGCGGUGAAAUGCAUAGAUACCACCAAGAACCCCGAUUGCGUAGGCAGCUCGCUGAGCCGAAACUGACGCUGAGGCACGAAAGCGUGGGGAGCGAACAGGAUUAGAAACCCCUGUAGUCC